AUGUCUGUGAAGAGAAUAACAACAACAACAAAAAGGCAUGCCUCUUGUAUGUGGACUACGAACACUAUGAACAUGGCACUGUUUCUGCUUCUCAAUAGGAGUUCUCUGUGUCUUGUGAGAGAGGGUUUCUUAAGAACAGAACAAUCAAGAACAUGUAAGGUUAUAUCGAAGAGAGAAAAGGAGAUGAACAUUUUAACCUGAAGUUAAAAGCUUUUUGACCAGAGAAAAUGGCAGAAUCACUAAAAGAUUAAAUAAUGAUUAGCUUAAGAAGAAAGUAACUUCAGUUUUCAUGAUAGUAGGACUAAGAGGAGUUGACAAUACAAAGGAGAAAUUCCAUUUUUCUGUCAAAGAGAAGGUCUGUCCAAGCCUAAAUUGAAAAGAAGAGAAAUCUGCUGCCUUGGUGUGUGACAGGUGAAGACAUUGUACCACCAGCAGAUGUCCACAGGAGAGCAGAGGCAAAGCAUGGUGUUCCACACAUUUAAUAAACACGUUAUUGCUAGGAGUCUCUUAGUGUUG
rnacentral:lncRNA from 1 species